GCGCGGCGAGCCGGCUGCAGCCGCGUGGAGCUGCGCUGCUGCAGCGAGCCUGGCCAGGCGCCCGUUCCCUGGCGGCAUGUCCGGCGGGCGCCGGCAGCAAGGGAAGGGCCGGCGGGCCGGGGCCUUGGCCAGAUUAUUGUACUUUUGCCCCGCUUAUCCUGCCGUGAGUCGCUUUGAGUGGGACAUGCCCACUUUGAGCUUUCCCCGGCGCCUGUGCCAUUACGGAGAAUGGGAAACGCUGCCGCACCGAUCUGUGCAGCCGACCUCGUGGAGAAGCCGUCGGGAAGCUGUGCUUCGACGUCGGAGCGGCGGAGCGGUCGGCAGAUGGCCGGUGGCCAUGCGGGGCCGGGCCGCGGGACCGGGCCAGGCCGGGCGGGUGCAGGCAGGGAGGGGGCCGGACGGUCCUGGGGGUUCCCCAUACCGUCGGGGGGGUGGUGGGGGGGUGGAUGGUCCCGUUCAGAGCCGGGGGGAGAUCCCCUGGUCGAGCCGGGCCGGGUCAGGCCGGGCAGGAGCAGGGAGGAGGGCGGACGGUCAGCACGGGGGAACGGGGAAACGCCGAAAGUCGUCACCCCCACACUCAGGAUGGCGCCGCCCUGACCGGAAACUCUCCCGCGUCGCGUCCCGUCCCGUCCCGUCCCGUCCCGUCCAGUCCCGUCCCGCUCGCGGCCCCGCGCCGCUCCCGCCCUUCCUGCCCAGUCUCCCUACGCUGCCACACCCUCCCCGCCGUUUCCAGCCGCCGCGCCGCCCCGCCCCUCUUUUCCGUCGCCGCCCCCCUUCCUUGCGGAGGGGCGGGGCUUCGCCGCCGGAAGGUGUCCUUUUUCCUUGGAAAGCUGCACAUGGUUUGCGCACAUGGCUCUCCGCGCGUGCGGGACUCCCCUUGGUUCUCUUACAUGUCCCCUCCCGCUCCUCUCCUUCCCACCUCCCAUCCUGCUCUCGCUCGGCUUCUUUUCCCCCGUCCCAUCCCGUCCCGCUGUCGCUCCGCUGCCCCCCUCCACCGUCCUGGACUCCUUUCUCUCCCUCUGCCGUGCCGCCCCGUCCCGUCCCCACCCCGCUGGGUCUCGCGGCGCCGUGGCGAUGGGGGGGCUGCUUCGCCGGAACCCUCCCACAGCUGUGCCGUGCCAAAGCACGCUCCUAUCCAAAUCCACGCUCCUAUCCCUCUGGGGAGCAACGGGAAGAAAAGCUGCUGAUUGAAUUCACAGGUGGGUUUUUAAAUGCAUUUUAUCCAGACUGGGAUUUUCCCUACCUGUCCACCAGCGAUUGCCCUCGUUUUUACCCCGAAAUGUCCACUCCGUCCCCAGCACCUCCAUUUCAUCCAGUCCAGAAUUCCCCCUCCCCACCCCUCCCCACCCCCAACCCCCUCAGUGACACACGAGGUCCUUGAGAGAAUUCUUGGUUUAUUGGUUUAAUGAGUGGCCUCGAGCAGCUGUUAAAAUGUUUUCUCUUCAGUUCAAUUUCAGAGUUCUGUGAUCCCGGCCUCAUCUUGUCCACCUCACUUGGACUCCCCGGAGGAAAAGGUAGAAGAGAGUUCCAGUAAGAAUAAAGAAUGCGGUCACCUGGGAUUUCAAGAUGGUGGAAUUGCCAGUCUGUCCGUGAGCUGAGCUGUGGCUGCAGGGCACUGUCAGGUAUUGUUGGCUAUGGUGGAAUUGCCAGUCUGUCCGUGAGCUGAGCUGUGGCUGCAGGGCACUGUCAGAUGGUGGAAUUGCCAGUCUGUCCGUGAGCUGAGCUGUGGCUGCAGGGCACUGUCAGAGACCGACCAAACUGGAGAAUUUGAAUCAGAGAGGAAGCGAUGCACAACAAAUGCAGGGAGAAAUGGUGGAAUGGUGAUGGAUCCUGCAGUGGUUCGGGUUGCAAGGGACCUUAAAGCUCAUGCAGCCCCACUCCCUGAGAAGGGACACCUUCCCCUAGCCCAGGGGAAAACGCUGGAGCAGAGGGAGGGAAGGAGCAGGGAGAACUGCAGCCCCCAGCAGCUCGGUCAGUGCUGGAUGGACUCGGGGCUGGGAAAGGUCACUCAGUGUGAGGGCAGGGACACUGGGCUGGUCCAAGUGUGGCAAGAAGAACAAGUGGACCGUGAAGGUUUGGAGCAGUCUAGAAGGUUCCUCGUGCCUAAAGGAUCCGGGCAAGUGAAGUCCUGGAAGAGUAUGGAAUAAUGAAAAGUGCCUCAGUUCUCCUGAAGCUCAACUUUGUAAAACAUUAAUGAAGAUAAAAUUCCUCUGCAACGAGCUGUUGGGUCCCAAAUCCUCUUGGAGGGAGAGGCAGAAACUCCCACUGCUGCUGGGGCUGAACUGCUUGCAGUGCCCAGGCGUGUUCGUGGGCACUCGUUCACAGUUCCUCCGCCGCUCGGCCCGCGCCGGUGCCGCCCCCAGCUAAAGGAGAGCAGGUCUACCAUUUGAACAUAGACACCCGGUCUACCCCCUGAAAGAGACCGGGUCUACCCGUCCGACUCGGACACCAGCAUUGGCACGAGAGGAAAUACCUCAGAGGGGCUCACCUCCAACUAAGCUCUGAAUAUGUCCGGAGGUUUCAGCGGGGAGAAAAGAGCAGUGGAAGAAAAGCACCCUAAACAGUAGCCAGUGGGGAUCAUCGGGUUUUGCAGCCAAGAAAAACAAGGACAGAGAUGAGGGAAUCGGUUUCCAAUUAAUAAUGAUUUGAUAGGUGUACGAAUCAUUGCCGGCCGUUUACAGGUCCCCCGCCGCGCGCUUCGCGCCGGCCCCGGCCCCGGCUCGCGCUGGUACCGCCCCCGGAUCGGGCCGGCCCAACCCCCGGCUCGCCCCGGCCCCGCCCCCCGGCUCGUGCCGCCUCUGAGUGAAGCGCUGAGAGCAGGGUUUUGUGGAGAUGGUGGGAGCUGCCUAGCAGGGCCAUGGAUUUUGGUGGUUGUUUUCUGUGUCUUAAUGCGGGCUGUAGUUGCCCUCUCAAUUUCCUGAAUGGCCCUGAGAACUUUGAGAAGGUGAAGCUGUCACUGAGCGUCUGGGUGAGCUGAUGAGUCCUGUUUUU